rnacentral:lncRNA from 1 species
UUGCAUAGCUGAAACCAGCCUGAAAUACUUUCUUAUUCCUCUGUUCACUAGACAACAUUAAUGUUCCAUGUUCUACUCCAUGAUAUCAAGUAAAACUUCUGGGAGACAAGCUUACAGACUGGGAAAUCUAAGGUAUCAACUGGAACUAACAACAGUAUCAGAAAAUAUAUGAGCAGGAGCUGCAUCUAGAUGAUCAGAGUUUGUCACUUUAACUACAAAAGGAAUCUUGAUAAUAAUCUUAGGCAUUAAAUUUUAUGCUUUAUCAAAUAAUUAAUACCUGGAUAAUUGUGAAUCAUUACCUGCAAGAGAUCAGAAAAUCUGUGAAAUAUUUUAUUUGAAGUAUCAAUCAACAGAAAAAAAAAAAAAAAUAAAUUCAUGAACUAAGACA